rfam:TPA: Bos taurus chromosome 1, whole genome shotgun sequence.
GCCUAGGUAGCUCAGCUGGUAGAGCAUCAGACUUUUAAUCUGAGGGUCCAGGGUUCAUGCCCCUAUCCAGGCA